CCGCAUCCCUUGACUAAGCAUUACAACAUCUACUAAGCGUGACCGGAGAGCAGCCUGUAUUCACAAGAAUUCCCUUAGUUAUAAAUAUAAAAGAUUUAACUAACAAAUAUAAAAUUAUAAAUACAAUUGUAAAUAAAAAAAAUAAACAUACCUCGUCUAAGGUAUCAAAAUCAGGUACAUGCUGUGUAACUAAGUCACGGUCGAGAAAAGGAACCGGUACAGUCCAGGUCAUACCUUGUGAUCCCAUCAACCUGAGGCUAUGUUCACCGGCUUGUUCUCCAUACUGUAUUUGUCUCAAAGGGUAAUCUUGCUGAGUAGUAGUAGGGUCUGCUGGGAAAGGAAUCUGAUACUCUGGUCGUAUGCCUUACCAUGACACAUAAUCUACGUUACCCUCACGAGAGACGGGGGAAAUAGCUAAUGUGCCCCGAGAAACAGUGUUCCAAUAUAACUGGUACUCCGUAGCCGUAACAAACUGACAAAAAGCUGAACUAACUGGGCCAAUUAAAGGAUGAUCUACGAGCCAGGAUCUGCUCCAA
rnacentral:lncRNA from 1 species